rnacentral:lncRNA from 1 species
AUAGCUCUACAUAUUGUGACUGAGGCUGGCACAUAAGAAAAGUGCCAGGCUGAAGAGUGUGUGGAACUGAUCAUCUCAAUGGGGGAGUGUCCCCAGGAGUGGGGAAUCUGGAAGAGGAGAAGACUCUGACUGGGAAAGUUGGUCUCUCUCAGUCUUGAGAAGCCAAAGAGAGAAGUGGAAAAAGACUUUCUCCUGAAAGUUACCCACCUUUCCUGCUGAUGACUAGAAAACCCCAACACUUCCCAACUGAAGAGACCCAGAGAAGAAGAAGCCUGAGAAAGACAUUUUAAAUCUCUGCCUGACUUUACUUCAGCUCCUGUUGCCCUCAGUCUAAACUGUGGCCAAGGGGCUAAACCCAGGAUAAGAAAACUAAGAAAAGAAAAAUGUUGGGCUCAAGGUUAUCCAGCUGAUGACUGGUGGUUCAGGACAG